CACAUACUCUCGGUGACGUAAGCGUCUGCAUCCUACGGAAAGCAUCAUCCGAUGUACAGCGUAAGGAACUGGAGGCGCGUCAUUUUCGAAGCUGGGACGCUACAUCCAGGUGGAAUGAACAUGGAUGUUUCUGUGUUCAUUUAGAAGUGAAUCUGCUUGCCCUGACGAAGGUACCCAGUUACCGAAAGCUCGGCACUUACAUAAUUGAGAGCACUGAUUAUAUAUUAUAUUUUUAUCUAUAUUCUGAUCACGAUGCUACGCAGCCCUUUCAUAUUUUUCAGCCAAUAAUUAUGUCCACAGCGCAGAGUUGGUAUACUUAUGUAAACCUGACAGAUAAUAGAGUACCGAAGUGUGACGUCAUUGUGAACCAGAAAGUGCGGUACAAACAAAUAGAGUACGCGCACGUGUUGAUUCACGCGCUGGUUCUGGCUCUAAUGCCUUUUACACACUAAUUGUGCGCGUGACGUAUUCACUUCGGUACUCUAUACACGACUCUGUUACGGCUUUUCAUUUAGUAUCCAGUCCAGUGUCAAUAACAACAUGUUCACUUGUCGUUGACUUAGGUUUAUCAAGGACAACAUCAACUUUUCAUUGAACACAGACGACCCGACGGUCUUUGGGAAUACCAUCAAUGAUGAGUUUGAGAUUGCAAAGAAGUUCUGUGGACUGUCUGAUGAGCAGGCAAUACAAGUGACGUUGAAUGCAGCGCAUGCAUCCUUCCUGCCGAAGCAAGAAAAACUUGAGCUAAUUCAGCAGUUGAGGUCAGCCUACCAUGUCACUGAUUGAUUCAGAUCCAAGGUUAUUUGAUUCAGAUCAAGCAAUUUGAUACAGCAUGGGAAAAGUUCUUGACUAAUCCAGCAGUUUAGCCGCAGUUCGUGAUGUCGGCACAAUAACAAAAUAAUCGGAUUAGCAGCAACUACAAAAGAUAAAUGCAUUUCAUGUCCUUGUACAUUUACUGUUCGGUUUCACUGUACCUUAUUUUGAUUUUUAUUGUACCAGUUUUAAAGGUAUUUUGGUACCCUUUUGAUUUUUAUGCCAAUGCAAAUUUCCGUUCUUAUGCUUUAAGUACUUUAGGCUAUAAUUUCACCACAGUUUGCCAGAAUUUUGAGUUUUGUUCUGUCUUUAUUUGUUUGUUGGGGUGUUUGUUGGGUUGUUUGUUGGGUUGUUUGUUUUUUCGAUUUGUUGUUGCUUUAGUAUAUGGGACAGCAGGCUAUUUGACAAAGCUUCCUCACAAAAUAGUUUCGGUGAGCACGAACAGCACCCAAAAUGAACAACUGCUUCCUGUAAUGACAUUUCAGAAAUAGCGACGUCAUUCAUUGGGAAAACAUGGAAUAUGUUAAUAGGGACACUCAUUAUAAUAAGAUUGACCCAGAAGGGAUGUUCAAUCAUUUCUAUAUCAUCAUUGCAAACAUUUGAAAUAUGUAAAUUCUUACUAAAACUUUAUCUCAUGGGUCCAAGUUUUAAUAUUCUGAUGUCUAUUUGCUUGAUUACAACGCCAUGUCUGCAACAAUAAUUUUUAGCUAAUGUUUUUAAAGUUGUUGGCCAUCUACAGUUAUUUUAUUUCUGAUGACUCCGCCAGUUUCUUUUCCAAAUUUUCAAAGUUUAGUUUUCUUUACAAAAAGCAGAUGAAAACUAAUGUUUUCAUCAAUAUCGAUGUUGGCUUGAUGAUGUUCAUAAUGUAAACUGCUGUAUAUUACUGGUAGGCGUCGUAGUUCCGAACCUCAGCUUCAUUAUAGCUGUUAGUACUGUGUAAUAGCAUACAUCUGUGCCCAAAAGCGACUCUGAUGAGGUGGAUGAUGAGUUGUAGUGACGGCAUGUGUUGUUCGAUGUACUAAAUGUCAUUUCCAGUGUAUGAGAGGAGGCGUUGAGAUUUGGAUCGUUUUUGGACCAUUUCAAUGACAAAUUCCCUUACGUUAAAGCCGCUGAACAGAAUUAUUAUCGAUAAAAAAAGAUGGUUAAGAACUCAACAGCUAGUCAGGUAUCUCCUGUUUGCCUGUCAUUUACGACACCUCGAGCUUUUGUAGGGAAUAAUCUGUAGAAUGUUUGUGACAUCCUCUUUACAUCACUCUUGCAAAAAACGUAACAGAUUUAACUAAAACUACACAAGACGGUCUGUAUAGUAGAAAAUAGUAGAAAGUAGGAAAGUUAUUGUUUACAAAAAUGUGACUUUUUGUAUUGAUAAAUUGUGGUUAGGCUACGAAGAGAGAUGUGCGAAGCCACACGAUCAAUCGAGGUUAACAUCACCCGCACAGGUGUACGCUCAUAUAGAUUAAGAUUAUCCUUUUGGCUUUACAGUUAUUUAAAUAUGAACUCAAUGGGUUUAGACUGAAUCAUUCAAAAAACUCUUUUUGAGUAUUUUUGUAGAGUUUUCCAAGGUAUCAGUGUUUGUCAACAGUGGUGAAAUCAAACUAAACUUGUCUGCUGCAACAUGACUCUAAUUAAUACCAUAUGUGCGUUGCUUACAAACUAAUAAAGUUUUGUUUCAUUACCUGGCCUGCUUAAUCUUUGUCGUAGGCCAUUCUACAGGGUUCUUAUUACAAGGAGAUCUUUCUUCUGCGUUAGAUUUCCGGUCUUUGACUUUUCAUUCGUUACAAAGCCAUUCACAAAAUUCUUGAUAGGCUACUUUAGAACUUAUUGAGAGGCAUAAGGGUUUCAAAGACUUUUUCAAUUGGGGUGUUUCAAUCCAUUACAAAAAUUUCAAAGUAAAAAUUCAGCCAAGAAUUUAACAGAAAACACACGGAAUUCAAACGACCAUUUAAAAAGCUCAUGGGUGAUGAAAGCCUUGCAUGGGCAACUUGAGAUCACCGUGUGGCUUAGCGAGCAAAAGCUUCGGCGGUAGCGUCACGACGCACGCUGGACUGCUGCAGUGGACAUAACGCAGUAUGGUCUAGUGUUUUGUCAUCGACCAUGCAAUCAAAAGCAUUAGAUUUUUUUUAUUAAAAAUCUUUCUGCCCUAUUGUAAGACUUGACGUGAGAGGCACAAAUUGAGGUAAUGGACCAAGUUUCCCAAUUAAAGUAUUUUUCUGUCGUAAGAAACCA